rnacentral:lncRNA from 1 species
CUUUGCAAGAUAAUUAAGGGUAAAAGUAAUUAAUGGACUACUGUGGGGCCAGUUACUCCAAAGCAUGUGGGUAUUUAGUGCCUACUUGGACUGUGGAACCAAAUAUCCGAAGUAUUCACAAAGUUCUCCUGGUAACAGAGUGUCUUCAUUUGGGGCUACUCAAACAGUGUUGGACGAACUUUAUCCCCGGAGUAAUUUCACUGGAGUGCAUGUGGCUGCAUGGGGGUUCUUGUAGUCCAGUGUAGGACUUUGACUAUGGACUCUUACCGUGUUCAUGCUUGAUUUUUAGGUUAUAGAGAAAAUUGUGUAAUGUCUUCUGUAAUGUAAAUAACAUGCAGUGAGUAUAUAUCAUCAUGGAUUGCUUGUUGUGAAAUGGAAGACUUUGUAACAUACGGUCAGAGCUCCACAAAGGAAAAGAGUAAAAUGAAAACGGAAACAGCAACAAUUUGAUUAUGGAAACAAUGCCAAUUUGUAAAUGAAAAUCUUUGAUUUUUUUUCCUUUGUUUUUGUUUUUUGUUCCCUGAAUCCUAAUGUACAUGCUAAGUAGAUCUGUGAAGACCUGCAGCUAAAUCAAAAACUCACACAAGCCAAGGACCUGGCUAUUAUCCAUGAGCAAAAAUACUACCCAAGCUGUUAAGCCUGACUGCCCAAUUACCACCAAAAAAAAAAAAAAAAAAAAACCCCCCCCCCCCAAAAAAAAAAAAAAAAGGAAUUCUAUGUAAAGAUAUAUAAAUAUACAUAAAUUCAAUAAUUCAAUGUGGCCAUGAGGAAACCGGGAAGCCAAGGCAAAGCUUGUAACUCAUCAGGACUCAAAUUAAAUUUUAAACCAAGUCUCAGUUCUGUAAAUUAA